rnacentral:rRNA from 1 species
UACGUAGGGGGCAAGCGUUGUCCGGAUUUAUUGGGCGUAAAGAGCGUGUAGGCGGCCAGAUAGGUCCGCUGUGAAAACUCGAGGCUCAACCUCGAGAUGUCGGCGGAAACCAUCUGGCUAGAGUCCGGAAGAGGAGAGUGGAAUUCCUGGUGUAGCGGUGAAAUGCGCAGAUAUCGGGAGGAACACCAGUGGCGAAGGCGGUUGCCUGGAGCUUUGCUGACGCUGAUGCGCGAAAGCGUGGGGAGCGAUCCGG